rnacentral:rRNA from 1 species
AGUGAACGCUGGCGGUAGGCCUAACACAUGCAAGUCGAACGGCAGCACAGUAAGAGCUUGCUCUUACGGGUGGCGAGUGGCGGACGGGUGAGGAAUACAUCGGAAUCUACUUUUUCGUGGGGGAUAACGUAGGGAAACUUACGCUAAUACCGCAUACGACCUACGGGUGAAAGCAGGGGAUCUUCGGACCUUGCGCGAUUGAAUGAGCCGAUGUCGGAUUAGCUAGUUGGCGGGGUAAAGGCCCACCAAGGCGACGAUCCGUAGCUGGUCUGAGAGGAUGAUCAGCCACACUGGAACUGAGACACGGUCCAGACUCCUAAGGGAGGGCGCAGUGGGGAAUAUGGGACAAUGGGCGCAAGCCUGAUCCAGCCAUACCGCGUGGGUGAAGAAGGCCUUCGGGUUGUAAAGCCCUUUUGUUGGGAAAGAAAAGCAGCAGGUUAAUACCCCGCUGUUCUGACGGUACCCAAAGAAUAAGCACCGGCUAACUUCGUG